rnacentral:rRNA from 1 species
CCUACGGGUGGCUGCAGUGGGGAAUAUUGGACAAUGGGGGCAACCCUGAUCCAGCCAUGCCGCGUGUGUGAAGAAGGCCCUCGGGUUGUAAAGCACUUUCAGUGAGGAAGAACGCCUGGUGGUUAAUACCCAUCAGGAAAGACAUCACUCACAGAAGAAGCACCGGCUAACUCCGUGCCAGCAGCCGCGGUAAUACGGAGGGUGCGAGCGUUAAUCGGAAUUACUGGGCGUAAAGCGCGCGUAGGUGGCUUGAUAAGCCGGUUGUGAAAGCCCCGGGCUCAACCUGGGAACGGCAUCCGGAACUGUCAAGCUAGAGUGCAGGAGAGGAAGGUAGAAUUCCCGGUGUAGCGGUGAAAUGCGUAGAGAUCGGGAGGAAUACCAGUGGCGAAGGCGACCUUCUGGACUGACACUGACACUGAGGUGCGAAAGCGUGGGUAGCAAACAGGAUUAGAUACCCGGGUAGUC